ACCCACUGAACAUCUUGUAAUCGUCAGUGGUUAGUUUGGUUGAAUGAAAAAGGCCCAUCUUCGGAUGGGCCUUUUUUAUUGC
rnacentral:sRNA from 1 species